UUAAUUUGUAUGUAAAAGUAUGUAAUCUGCAGUCAUUAAUUACCUGUUUUCAGUCGCGCCUGACGCAGGAGUCUCGAGACAAAAAAGAUGUAUAGUGAUCCAGAAACAAUCAGGAACUCACGGUGACAGCGCAGAGGGAGACGGAGACAGUGACUACCGCCAACCGCAGCCGAAGGCACCCAUGCCUGACCGGUUGAGGAAACAGGACAAAACAUAUGAUGCUGAAGAGAUAUCGCCAGAGUUCCAGAGGUUAAGAAAACGCUUUGACAGACUUAAAUUGAAAAAACCAAACAAGUUUU